GAUGAACGCUGGCGGCGUGCCUAAUACAUGCAAGUCGAGCGAACAGACGAGGAGCUUGCUCCUCUGACGUUAGCGGCGGACGGGUGAGUAACACGUGGAUAACCUACCUAUAAGACUGGGAUAACUUCGGGAAACCGGAGCUAAUACCGGAUAAUAUAUUGAACCGCAUGGUUCAAUAGUAAAAGACGGUUUUGCUUUCACUUAUAGAUGAAUCCGCGCCGCAUUAGCUAGUUGGUAAGGUAACGGCUUACCAAGGCAACGAUGCGUAGCCGACCUGAGAGGGUGAUCGGCCACACUGGAACUGAGACACGGUCCAGACUCCUACGGGAGGCAGCAGUAGGGAAUCUUCCGCAAUGGGCGAAAGCCUGACGGAGCAACGCCGCGUGAGUGAUGAAGGUCUUCGGAUCGUAAAACUCUGUUAUUAGGGAAGAACAAAUGUGUAAGUAACUAUGCACGUCUUGACGGUACCUAAUCAGAAAGCCACGGCUAACUACGUG
rnacentral:rRNA from 1 species